GACGAACGCUGGCGGCGUGCUUAACACAUGCAAGUCGAACGGAAAGGCCCUGCUUUUGUGGGGUGCUCGAGUGGCGAACGGGUGAGUAACACGUGAGUAACCUGCCCUUGACUUUGGGAUAACUUCAGGAAACUGGGGCUAAUACCGGAUAGGAGCUCCUGCUGCAUGGUGGGGGUUGGAAAGUUUCGGCGGUUGGGGAUGGACUAGCGGCUUAUCAGCUUGUUGGUGGGGUAGUGGCUUACCAAGGCUUUGACGGGUAGCCGGCCUGAGAGGGUGACCGGCCACAUUGGGACUGAGAUACGGCCCAGACUCCUACGGGAGGCAGCGGUGGGGAAUAUUGCACAAUGGGCGGAAGCCUGAUGCAGCAACGCCGCGUGCGGGAUGACGGCCUUCGGGCUGUAAACCGCUUUCGCCUGUGACGAAGCGUGAGUGACGGUAAUGGGUAAAGAAGCACCGGCUAACUACGUG
rnacentral:rRNA from 1 species